UCAUUGCAUGUCCGCCAUCUAUACAAUCCACGGGCACUGGGAUUUCAUCCUUCAUGUUUCGGCCAAAACUCCAUCUUUGGGGACAAAAAUCUUAACUUCAAACCAAUUGUCUAAAAACUAAUCUCUCACCACUUCGCUUCCCUUGUACGCCUAGUAGGACACGUAACAGUACUAAUUAGCUUUUGGUGCAGCCUAAGGUUAAGAAGCACCUUCUUCCUUCCCUCCUUGCCUCGACAGAACAUCAUGUGGGAACAAGUAUUCAUUUCUCCAAAACCGUAAGACUGGCCUCUCUCCUUAUUUUCUUCAACAGCAGAAAAGAACCCAACUAAGCAUCCUCACUUAUGCACACCAAAAAGGUCAAAACAGAACCGUUUGGGUACCCUCUUGGUUCAAGUCAGAAAGCACCGUCUACUUCCCUUUGCUGCACAAAACCGUGAGUAUUCCUAAGUGAAGAGCUCAAUGUUCAAGUCUCCCUUCCUCCCCUGUCAGUCGAGUACACCUAUCAAAGAGGUGAGAAAAUUCUGGUUGUAUCUGUUUUCCCUAGUUGACUUGACUCUGAUUGAAUUUUCUUUCUGCAUGCACUUGGCCAAGCCUUGGUCGAACUCUUGCCCCCUUGCAUGCAGUGGAACCGGUCUCUUGGAGUAUAAGAAAAAGUGUUUGGGCUGUCCUUGCUUGAUUGUGGUUCUUUGAACGCUUGAGAACAAGUGCACGUAACUCUUAUUGAGUGGGCUGAAUUUUGGUGCUGUUGAUUAUUGCUUGGACAUGAGGAAGAUAAAGAAAUAUUUGAUAAAGCAUGUCAUUGGAAGUACUUGGUUGAUGCUCUGCUGUUUGAGGAUGACUGCUGUUAGUUUUGUUUCUGUUGGAUUAAAUGCUGAAAGAUUAUAUGCAAUAAGAUGUUAUGGAGAUUAGUAAACUUGUUUUGGGAAUUGAAUUCUGAAAAUUUGAUGAAGAAUUGCUGAACUCUGUAAUUAUGUUUAUGCAUAAUAUCCUGAGAAUCAUGCUUGAUGUUAUUGCCGUUCCGAUAUCCAACUUAUGUUAUG